AUUGAACGCUGGCGGUAUGCUUAAGACAUGCAAGUCGAACGGAAUCUUCGGAUUCAGUGGCGGACGGGUGAGUAACACGUGGGAAUCUACUGAGUAGUGGGGGACAGCCCGGCGAAAGCCGGAUUAAUACCGCAUACGCCCUACGGGGAAAGGCGCAAGCCGCUAUUUAAUGAGCCGCGUAAGAUUAGCUAGUUGGUGAGGUAAAGGCUCACCAAGGCAACGAUCUUUAGCUGGUCUGAGAGGAUGGCCAGCCACAUCGGGACUGAGACACGGCCCGGACUCCUACGGGAGGCAGCAGUCGGGAAUAUUGGACAAUGGGCGCAAGCCUGAUCCAGCAAUACCGCGUGUGUGAAGAAAGGCCUGCGGGUUGUAAA
rnacentral:rRNA from 1 species